rnacentral:rRNA from 1 species
GACGUAGGGCGCGAGCGUUGUCCGGAUUUAUUGGGCGUAAAGAGCUCGUAGGCGGCUCGUUGCGUCGGCUGUGAAAACCCGCGGCUUAACUGCGGGCUUGCAGUUGAUACGGGCAGGCUAGAGUUCGGUAGGGGAGACUGGAAUUCCUGGUGUAGCGGUGAAAUGCGCAGAUAUCAGGAGGAACACCGGUGGCGAAGGCGGGUCUCUGGGCCGAUACUGACGCUGAGGAGCGAAAGCGUGGGGAGCGAACAGG